rnacentral:misc_RNA from 1 species
AAAAAACAGAAAACUUUUUUCUGAUGAUGUUCAUGUAAAGAGUCUCCUCUUCUUCUUCCUCUUUUCUCUUCCCCCUUCAUCGUUUAUGGCUUCAAUACAGCCCUAAAAUCAUCUAACCCUACUAGUUUUUCAACUUUUUUUACCCUCUUAACCUAAAUAAUGAUGAAUUUUUUGAAGUAUUUGGGAGUCCGAGGCGAUUAGAACUUGGAAAUCCUUAGAUCUGGUUUGUAUUUUUGGUUAAAUGUCUUGGUGUUGCUUUCCGAAUUAUUUUCGGGGGACAUUUUGUCCACUUGAUGGAUGAUGACCAUUCCAAUGGAUAGUAAUUUAGACCAUUCAUCUCGGGAGCGAGUUCAGUGCCUCUACAACAAGAAUGUUGAGUUGGAGAAUAAACGGAGAAAAGCAGCACAAGCUAGAGUUCCUUCUGAUCCAAGUGCAUGGCAACAAAUGCGAGAAAACUAUGAAACUAUCAUCCUGGAGGAUCAUGUUUUCUCAGAACAACAUGAAAUAGAGUAUGCCUUGUGGCAGAUGCAUUACAGG